rnacentral:lncRNA from 12 species
UAUCUGGCUCCUCUCCAAACAGUGCGAUCACUGAAGGCCCCAUAUGAAUUCUAUUAAGGAUACAUUUUGCUGCUGCCAGAAAACACAGGGUAUUUUUCUAAGGAACUCUAAGAAUAUGCUUCUUAAAUAUAUUUUGUGCCAGUUUAAAUAGUUUUUCUCACGCAGGAAAGAAAGGCAGGAACUUUGCUUUCUUUCUUUCUUUUUUUUUUUUUUUAAAAACCACAGCCAGGGUUUCUCUGCUUGUCUCCCUCCCACCUGGCCUGCGACGCCUCCCUCCUGAUACUUGAACCUGGGGAAGCAGCCCGGCCCAACCCUGACGGCUGGGGCGCCAGGUCGCAGGACAGUAAGCAGGUUCCCGCUGGCUCCCUUUCUCCUCUGCCCAGGUCAGUUGGAUAAGACUUUCCGCUUGUGCUCACCUGGCGUACGGAAGAGGAUAAGAAGACGGGGCAAAAGCACGUGUUCCCGACCGACAGCCCCGGGGAGGCGCCGCGGGAAACGGUGAUGGCGCGUGGGCAACUGCGAGGGCGCAGUCUUGCACUGUCGGAAAGUCUCAAGUGUCAAAAUACCAAGCGGAAGUGACAAAGGGAGCGGCUAGGGAGUCCUGCACACGCCACGUUUUUGGGCAAUCUGAUGUGAUUCCUAAUGAUAAGCUCCUGAGAAGUGGAGUUACUCCUGACGCACCAUGGUAUUGUCCUCAGAGCCUCAUGUACACAGUAGGCACUCAAUACAUAAUUUUGAGUAAAUGAAUGGAAUAACGGAAAAACUGAAAAUUUCUGUUUUUUUUAAUCUGGCCUCUCAACGGUUCUCAUAAACUUGGGUAAGACUGAAGAGUUUGUUUCUUCAUCUAUUAAAUGAACAUAACAAGACGUAUCUUCACAGGGAUUAGAUAAAAUACAGUAGCCCCCCCAUAAUCCACAGAGGAUAUGUUCCAAGACUUCAGCGGAUGCCUGAAGUUGCACAUCAGUACUGAGCCCUAUGUGUGUUGUUUUUUUCCUAUACAUACGUACUUAAAUGAUAAAAUUUAAAUUUAUAAAUUUUAUAAAUUUUAGAUUUAUAAAAUUAAUGAAUUAUAUUAAAUUAUAAAUUUAUAAAAUUUAUAAUUUACAUUUAAAAUUUAUAAAUUAGGCACAGUAAGAGAUGAAUAGCAAAAACUAAUGAUAAAAUAGAACAAUUAUAACAAUAUACUGUACUAAAAAGUGUGUAUGUCUCUCUCUCUCCUUUUCUUGAAAUAUCUUAUUGUGCUACAUUCAUCCUCCUUCUUCUAAUGCUGGUGUGAGACGACAGAAUGCCGAUAUGAUGAAUUAAAGUGAGGCCAGUGGUGUAGGACUACGGAGCUUCUGAUGGUAUUUAUUUAUUUAUUUAUUUAUUUAUUUAUUUAUUUAUUUAUGCUUCUGAUAUUAUAUCAGAAGAAGGAUCAUCUGCUUCUGGACCGCGGUUGACCAUAAGUACCUGAAGCCCUGGAAAGCAAAACCAUGGAUAAGGGGGUACUAUUGUAGUGUUUCCAAAUCAUUUUCACAUAAAGAUUCAGACAUACAUUAAGUAUUGUCAAUAUAAAGGAAAAAAAUAAGGGCCAGAAGUGAGAACAACCCGCUUCACAGAGUUAAUGAACGGCAAAGCUAGACCUAGACCAAAGUUCCCUAACUCCCAGCCAAGACUUCUCACCACUUGCCACUGGGCAUGGAAUUUUCUGGCAAGUGGCCCAACUGAAAUACUUCACCCAGACUAGUAUGGUCGUACUAUCUCUUG